rnacentral:rRNA from 2 species
AAUCCAUAGGUUAAUGAGGCGAACCGGGGGAACUGAAACAUCUAAGUACCCCGAGGAAAAGAAAUCAACCGAGAUUCCCCCAGUAGCGGCGAGCGAACGGGGAGGAGCCCAGAGCCUGAAUCAGCAUGUGUGUUAGUGGAAGCGUCUGGAAAGGCGCGCGAUACAGGGUGACAGCCCCGUACACAAAAGCGCAUGUGCUGUGAGCUCGAUGAGUAGGGCGGGACACGUGGUAUCCUGUCUGAAUAUGGGGGGACCAUCCUCCAAGGCUAAAUACUCCUGACUGACCGAUAGUGAACCAGUACCGUGAGGGAAAGGCGAAAAGAACCCCGGCGAGGGGAGUGAAAAAGAACCUGAAACCGUGUACGUACAAGCAGUGGGAGCACCCUUUGGGGUGUGACUGCGUACCUUUUGUAUAAUGGGUCAGCGACUUAUAUUCUGUAGCAAGGUUAACCGUAUAGGGGAGCCGGAGGGAAACCGAGUCUUAACCGGGCGUUAAGUUGCAGGGUAUAGACCCGAAACCCGGUGAUCUAGCCAUGGGCAGGUUGAAGGUUGGGUAACACUAACUGGAGGACCGAACCGACUAAUGUUGAAAAAUUAGCGGAUGACCUGUGGCUGGGGGUGAAAGGCCAAUCAAACCGGGAGAUAGCUGGUUCUCCCCGAAAGCUAUUUAGGUAGCGCCUCGUGAAUUCAUCUCCGGGGGUAGAGCACUGUUUCGGCUAGGGGGCCAUCCCGGCUUACCAACCCGAUGCAAACUGCGAAUACCGGAGAAUGUUAUCACGGGAGACACACGGCGGGUGCUAACGUCCGUCGUGAAGAGGGAAACAACCCAGACCGCCAGCUAAGGUCCCAAAGUCAUGGUUAAGUGGGAAACGAUGUGGGAAGGCCCAGACAGCCAGGAUGUUGGCUUAGAAGCAGCCAUCAUUUAAAGAAAGCGUAAUAGCUCACUGGUCGAGUCGGCCUGCGCGGAAGAUGUAACGGGGCUAAACCAUGCACCGAAGCUGCGGCAGCGACGCUGAUG